rnacentral:lncRNA from 1 species
AGCAAAUUUCCAAAAGAGGAAAGAGAGAGGGGCACGUGAGAGAGAAGGGGUAAGAGAGAAAUUGACCCGUUUAGCCGGAUCCGAGCCGCAUCCUUGACCCGGCUCCAGCUGUUGAUUCCGGCCACCUCACCGGCCGAGCUUGGUACCGAUUUGAAGCUUGAGCGACUCCGGUCGCUGACAUCGUCACCGGAAAGUAGCCAGCACGCCGGCGAUCGAAGCUUGAAAGACCGCGGCUCAACCCGUUUUCGGCACCGUCAAUCUCAUCGGAAUUAGGUUGCACCACCGGUUGGGUUCGACUCCUCACGUCGCUAGCUUUCAUUUCCGACCAACCCCGCCACCUGAAACCUCCGUUUUGGCCGUGAACGACCGCCGGAAAGCUCACGGAUUUGGGAGCAUGAUCCGCCGCCAUCACCGCGCGUGUAAGGUCACCGCCGGCACCUUUGGACUCACCGAGGUCUGAAAUAUCAGACCUAAGCUUCCCGUCGUCGUUGACUAAGUCUGGUCACCGUUGACCGGCAGGGUCAAUUCGGUAAUUUUACAAGACUUUGGGGUAAAUUUGUAAUUUGAAGAAAUGAUGGAUAAAUUGGUAAUUUCAUAUUAGGGCAGUGAGGUAAUUUAAGAUUUUGGGGGUAAUUCAGUAAUUUACGUUGUUAAGGACAUUUUGGUAAAUUUACACUCCGAGGGUAAUUUCGUAAUUUCUUACAUUGUGGUUAUUUUUAUAAUCUGAAUUGAGGUUAGCUUGGUAAUUUAAGAUUACGAGGAUAAUUGGGUAAGUAUUGAUGUCGGGGACAUUUUGGUAAUUUUGGCAUGCAUGGGUAUUUUGGUAAUUUGAGGCAUACAAGAAUAGUUGAUUAUGAAUGAAUAUUUGUUUCGAGCUCUAAUGCGUAAUAUUAGUUGUAUUUCACAUUUACGGAAAAAUAAUUAUGUCGUUUACUUGAUUACAAGGACCUGCGAACAAGAAUCAACUCGUGGACACUGUUGAUACCGAGUUUGAACAUCGUCAUUAUGAGUGGAAUAUACAAAACUUAUUUUCAUAGUAUAUUCUGAUUUUACCAUACAGUACAACAUAUUUUGAUAAUAAGUAUUUGAUGCUUCGAUUUAAUGAUUUUUUAGAAAAUUGAUUUUUUUUUAUCUCCGUGCUGAUAUUUAUUGUUAUUAAGAAUGAGUUUGAUUAAUGAUUUUAUUGUCGUUUUUGAGUAAAUGCAUGAUAUUAGAAUUCAGUGGAUUUGAGAUAUGUUAAAUAAAAAGGAAAUGUGAUUAUAUGUUUAUGUACAUGUGUAUAAAAAGUUGUUUGGAAAAUCAUUGGACAGUACCUUUCUCCUUUAGAUACAGAGAUACAAAUUAUAUGAGAUGAAUCACGGAUUUGGGAGCAUGAUCCGCCGCCAUCACCGCGCGUGUAAGGUCACCGCCGGCACCUUUGGACUCACCGAGGUCUGAAAUAUCAGACCUAAGCUUCCCGUCGUCGUUGACUAAGUCUGGUCACCGUUGACCGGCAGGGUCAAUUCGGUAAUUUUACAAGACUUUGGGGUAAAUUUGUAAUUUGAAGAAAUGAUGGAUAAAUUGGUAAUUUCAUAUUAGGGCAGUGAGGUAAUUUAAGAUUUUGGGGGUAAUUCAGUAAUUUACGUUGUUAAGGACAUUUUGGUAAAUUUACACUCCGAGGGUAAUUUCGUAAUUUCUUACAUUGUGGUUAUUUUUAUAAUCUGAAUUGAGGUUAGCUUGGUAAUUUAAGAUUACGAGGAUAAUUGGGUAAGUAUUGAUGUCGGGGACAUUUUGGUAAUUUUGGCAUGCAUGGGUAUUUUGGUAAUUUGAGGCAUACAAGAAUAGUUGAUUAUGAAUGAAUAUUUGUUUCGAGCUCUAAUGCGUAAUAUUAGUUGUAUUUCACAUUUACGGAAAAAUAAUUAUGUCGUUUACUUGAUUACAAGGACCUGCGAACAAGAAUCAACUCGUGGACACUGUUGAUACCGAGUUUGAACAUCGUCAUUAUGAGUGGAAUAUACAAAACUUAUUUUCAUAGUAUAUUCUGAUUUUACCAUACAGUACAACAUAUUUUGAUAAUAAGUAUUUGAUGCUUCGAUUUAAUGAUUUUUUAGAAAAUUGAUUUUUUUUUAUCUCCGUGCUGAUAUUUAUUGUUAUUAAGAAUGAGUUUGAUUAAUGAUUUUAUUGUCGUUUUUGAGUAAAUGCAUGAUAUUAGAAUUCAGUGGAUUUGAGAUAUGUUAAAUAAAAAGGAAAUGUGAUUAUAUGUUUAUGUACAUGUGUAUAAAAAGUUGUUUGGAAAAUCAUUGGACAGUACCUUUCUCCUUUAGAUACAGAGAUACAAAUUAUAUGAGAUGAAUAUAGUGAUACAGAUAAUAUUAGAUGAGAGGCCUUUGGGGCCCGUCUAAACAUACACAAAGACUUUGGGCCGUGUGGUCGGGCGCUUUUGCCUUUUGGAGGCUUAUGCAUGCAGUAUGAUAAUCACAGAGAUGCAGAUGUUGAGAUAUAUGAGAUAUGAGAUGACAUUUCCCCGUCUAUCCGUUGUAGCUCCGAGGCAUGAUGGUUCCUUGAUUGCUCGUCCGUUGAGGUCUGGAUAUGAUGAGAUUAUUCCCCUUGGUACUUGUUUGAUG